CUUUUAAGGAUUUAACAGGGUCAUGACAUUUCAGAGUGAAAGAGUUUGGGACUGACUUGGCCCAAUGUCUUCAUGUUUUGCUUGAGAAACUGAGAGGUGAAGCAACUUGCCCAGAGUCACACAGAUAUCCGUGUCAGUGCCAGAAUUUUGUCUGCACAUAACAUCACCUUCCAAGAACAGUAAGGAAGAGAGACUGGGAGGGCAGGCUGGCUGUCAGUGCAGAGUAUACAGAGCAGCUUUAGAGGGCCCUGGUGGUUCAGGCAGUAAAGAAUCUGCCUGCAAUGGAGGAGAUGCAGAGGGAGAGGAGGAGCCAUCCAGAAACCACAGUGCGGCCUUGGGGCAGGGUCCUGGUUUCCCUCCAAAGACUAUACAAAACAAUACCUUUGAGUUGCAGGAACUAAGGCCCCACCCAGAGGGAGGGUGGUAACUUCAGGCUGAGAGCAAAAUUCCUGGAGGACCGCCCUGAUACCUCAGGACUUGAUGGGUCCAAAGGCAUUAUACUGAAUGAAAAGGCCAAUCCCCAAAGGUGGCAUGCUGAAUGAUUCCAAUUAUAUGACAUUCUCAGGAUAACCAGCAAUGUAUUAGUGAUUGUGAGGGGAUAGAGAUGAGGGUGGGAGUGGGAGUGUUUGAGUAUAAAUAGUGUUGCUUGGCUAAGGGUAGGACAUGACUGAGCGACUUCACUUUCACUUUUCACUUUUGCAUUGGAGAUGGAAAUGGCAACUCACUCCAGUGUUCUUGCCUGGAGAAUCCCAGGGACGGGGAAGCCUGCUGGGCUGCCGUCUAUGGGGUCGCCCAGAGUCGGACACGACUGAAGCGACUUAGCAGCAGCAGCAGCAGUGUUGCAGGAAGGGGGACCCCUCUCAGGGCCUGAGAGUGGGCUCUUGCCUAACACUUGGAAAUGAAUUGUCCGAGGAGACACACGAGCUGACAAAGCAAAAGACUUUACUGGGGAGGGGCACCUGGGCAGAGAGCAGAAACGUAAGGGAACCCAGGAGGACUCAUUAGCCACGUGGCUCGAAGUCUCGGGUUUUAUGGAGAUGGAAUGAGUUUCCAGGUUGUCUCUGGCCAAUCAUUCGGACUCAGGGUCCCUCCUGGUGGCCCACACGUUGCUCAGCCAAGAUGGACGCCAGCGAGGAGGAUUCUGGGAGGUGGUGUCUCCUUUUGACCUUUCCCAAACUCUUCUGGUUGGUGGUGGCUUAUUAGUUCUGUGUUCCUUCCCAGGACCUCCUGUUGUAAAAUAACUCUCACAAAUGGUUACCAUGGUGCCUGGCCAGGGAGGGCGGUUUCAGUGAGUGUGUUCCCCUGACAAUAGGAAGCACAAGGGAGUUCCUUUGUGGUCAGGAACAGUUCUGUAUUUGGAUCGUGGUGGUGAUUACAUGAAUCCACAUGCAAUAAAAUUGCAUAAACUGCACAAGUAUACAUACUGAAGGAAAAGCUGGUGAAAUCUGAACAAAAUCUGUUGACUGCACCAACAGGAUCUAUUUCCUGGUUUGCGUAUUGUACUGUUCUUGGUGAAUUUAACAUUCUUGCCUUGUCUUGGAAAAAAUUCGGAGAUGAAGCAGGGAGGUUAAGAAGGUAAAGUGAGAGUUUAUUAAAGCAAGAAUAGUCUAUCAGAGGGAGCGCAGGCAGAGAGGUGAGGAACUGGUGCCCUGG
rnacentral:lncRNA from 1 species